AAAGCUUCCCCCAGUACAGAAAAAGAUGUCGGGCUUUUUAUGAAAUCAGACAGAACUGAAAAAAAGAAGAAGAAACAUGCUAACAAACAGUAGCGGCUUAUCUUCUCAACACAGCUAAUUUGAAGCUCUCAAUUAGAUGAGCUGUACUCUCCUUUUCACUCUUUUUUUUUGUUGAGUUUCUUCGGGCAAUUCAUUAAAUGGAGGCAAAAAAGAGCCAGAGGAUUGCAGAUAUCACUUCUCUGAGUUCCAAAAAUGAACGUGGUAAUGCUGAUGACCACAGGUCCUGCUGUUAAGGCCAUGUGUGGAAUGGGAGUGGGAGUCCCUGCAGUACCAUCCAUCACUGCUGGGCACCGGUGUGAGGCACGGUGGUCACGGGCGGCACCAGGCCUUCGCUCCUCUCUGGCUAUGGGCCUAAUGCUCCCCAUGAAUA